rnacentral:tRNA from 1 species
GGAAAUAGCUCAGUGGUACAGCACAUGCUUAGCAUACAUGAGGUCUUGGGUUCAAUCCCCAGUACUUCCA